GGGCGCCCGAUGGCUAUGUGAGCGGCCGCGGCGGGAUGGUGCUGAGCCGGGCCGGGCCGUCUUCUUCCAGCAGCACCGCGGGCGCCCGCGCCCUACAGGCGGCGGACGGGGCCGCGCCGGGGAGAGGGGGAAUAAUAUAUUUUAAACAAGAAUCAGUAAUUGGAAGUACAAGAUUGGUUGUUUAAUAAUGUUAAAAUGAAGUUUUGAUCAGCAGAGGUAAGAAUAUGUCUUUUAUUUUUUUGCAUUUAAUUCAUGAUAGAUCAGAAUAUUUGCUAAAGUUCUAUUAAGAGCUAUUUCAAGAGCGGUGAAGGGUCUGAGAUUUUACCCCGUCUGCAAGAUGACAGCCUAGUCUGCCACCGUGCCAUGGACGUGGGCAGAAGACAGACUCCUGGGUCAGAGGAAAGGCGACACCUGCACGUGAGCAGGUUGUGUUACAGUAGAGGAACCCUGAGCAAAGGGAACCCAAAUCUUCUAUAAUGGACAGUAAGCCUGCCUGACUUAUGCCUCAGGGGGAGGCUUUAUCUCUAUUACACAGAACAGUAAGCAAAUCUAUCUCUGACUUCUAAGACAGUUUGGUGAACAUGCAUCCUUGAAAAAUAGUCUGGAACAAAGGCUUGCAAAACACGCAGAAACACAAGACUCUAGAGAAUCUUCCUUCAACACUUUCUUCUUCUGAAUUGCUUUUUAAAGCAUGAAUUAUUGAUAAGGAUGAUUAUUACAGUACUUUUUUGAAAAGAUAGAAACCACUGAAAUAUCCUAUGAUAGGAGAUUGUUUAAAUUGUAACAUUCACAGUGUAACAGCAAUUGAAAAUAGUGUUUUAAAACUACAUUUAUAUUGACAUAAAUGUUCAUCAAAAAUUAAGUGAAAUAAAUGGGUUAUAAAAUGUUCGUGUGGUUCGAGC
rnacentral:lncRNA from 1 species